rnacentral:rRNA from 1 species
UACGAAGGGGGCAAGCGUUGUUCGGAAUGACUGGGCGUAAAGGGCGCGUAGGCGGUUCGUUGCGUCAGAUGUGAAAGCCCCGGGCUCAACCUGGGAACUGCAUUUGAUACGGGCGGGCUUGAAUCCAAGAGAGGGUGGUGGAAUUCCCAGUGUAGAGGUGAAAUUCGUAGAUAUUGGGAAGAACACCAGUGGCGAAGGCGGCCACCUGGCUUGGUAUUGACGCUGAGGCGCGAAAGCUAGGGGAGCAAACGGG